GUGUUUGUGUGUGUGUGUGUGUGUGUGUGUGAUGUCCAGCCGGAUCGGAGUGUGUAACGCGGAUUGGAGUGUGUGUGUGUGUGUGUGAUGUCCAGCCGGAUCAGACUGUGUAACGCAGAUUGGAGUGUGUGUGUGUGUGUGUGUGUGUGUGAGAUGUCCAGCAGGAUCGGAGUGUGUAACGCGGAUUGGAGUGUGUGUGUGUGUGUGUGUGUGAUGUCCAGCCGGAUCGGAGUGUGUAACGCGGAUUGGAGUGUGUGUGUGUGUGUGUGAUGUCCAGCCGGAUCGGAGUGUGUAACGCGGAUUGGAGUGUGUGUGUGUGUGUGUGUGUGAUGUCCAGCAGGAUCGGAGUGUGUAAUGCGGAUUGGAGUGUGUGUGUGUGUGUCAUGUCCAGCCGGAUCGGAGUGUGUAACGCGGAUUGGAGUGUGUGUGUGUGUGAUGUCCAGCCGGAUCGGAGUGUGUAACGCGGAUUGGAGUGUGUGUGUGUGUGAUGUCCUGCCGGAUCGGAGUGUGUAACGCGGAUUGGAGUGUGUGUGAUUGUGUGUGUGUGUGUGAUGUCCAGCCGGAUCGGAGUGUGUAACGCGGAUUGGAGUGUGUGUGUGUGUGUGAUGUCCAGCCGGAUCGGAGUGUGUAACGCGGCUCACGAUACAGUUAAACGCUGCCAAUAGAACAUCACAACUGAGGUUUCAGUUCGUAAAGACCUUAUAUGUGUUUUUGUAAAGAAAACCUUCAAAUAUAAAAAGCAUAUUUUUGAUAUUUUAUAAAAUGAUUUUAAAGAUGUCACACAGUAUAUGAUGGAAAAUGUAUUUAUGUACCAAAUAAAAACAUGAAGCGAUCUGCA